AGCAGCAGCCGCGGUAAUACGUAGGGUGCAAGCGUUAUCCGGAAUUAUUGGGCGUAAAGAGCUCGUAGGCGGUUUGUCGCGUCUGCUGUGAAAACUGGAGGCUCAACCUCCAGCCUGCAGUGGGUACGGGCAGACUAGAGUGCGGUAGGGGAGAUUGGAAUUCCCGGUGUAGCGGUGGAAUGCGCAGAUAUCAGGAGGAACACCGAUGGCGAAGGCAGAUCUCUGGGCCGUAACUGACGCUGAGGAGCGAAAGCAUGGGGAGCGAACAGGAUUAGAUACCCCCGUAGUCCCUGUCUCUUAUAC
rnacentral:rRNA from 1 species